rnacentral:rRNA from 1 species
GACGAACGCUGGCGGCGUGCUUAACACAUGCAAGUCGAACGAAGUGGCGAACGGGUGAGUAACGCGUAAUCAACCUGCCCUUCAGAGGGGGACAACAGUUGGAAACGACUGCUAAUACCGCAUACUGAAGGCGGGGAUUGCGUGUGAUUAGCUAGUUGGAGGGGUAACGGCUCACCAAGGCGAUGAUCAGUAGCCGGUCUGGGAGGGUGGACGGCCACAUUUGGACCGGGACAAGGCCCAGACUCCUACGGGAGGCAGCAGUGGGGAAUCUUCCGCAAUGGGCGAAAGUCUGACGGGGCAACGCCGCGUGGGUGAUGACGGCCUUCGGGUUGGAAAGCUCUGUUAAUCGGGACGCGGUACCGAAAUAGAAAGCCACGGCUAACUACGUGCCAGCAGCCGCGGUAAUAC